CAAGGUUCUCAUAUUAAUGAAACAUCUGCAAAGAAACAGCCCUUUCUGCACAUCUGGCAAAGUUUGGCAGCAUGUUUGCGUCAGAGUGGUUGCAAAUGAUGGAGGACUCUGUGGAGCCCGUGGGACAUCAGCCCGCUGGCCGGGUUCCCUAGAGCGCUGCUCCACUGUCGCCAGGUCUCAGGGCUGGUAAGUAUGUGUACAGACACGCCUGCAUGCGUAGCCGCGACUGAAUCACGGGUUCGUCAUGAGUUCUUUUGCAUGAUAUCAGUAACCACCAAAAUCUCACCGCAGUUUCCCCAAGGCUGAAUUUAUUCAUUUCAAAAAACAGCAUCGGGAAUAUUCUAAGACUUUUACUACACAGAGGAACUGGUGAGGCAGUAAAAUCGUUUUAUUUGAAAUAACAAUAAAAAGCCAAAUUGGAGUGCAGCUAGAAGGGAUUAGACCACCACAAAACUAGCCUUACUGGAAUUGCUUCCAAGAAUGUUAACAAUCUAUUGGGAGACAGUAUGUUUUCUGGAACCAAAAUUGAAGGUGGGUGGGGAGAAGAAUAGGCAAGUAAAGGCAGCCAUGAGGAAACUGAACUUUCAUCACCUUGAGCACGGUAUUUUUGAGUAUUAACUAUGCUUGGCAUGCAAAAAGCAGUUAAAAGUCUAACAACCAAGCGUGAACUUCACGCACCUAAAUCUCCUGUGAUAGUUCUAGACAAUACUUGGCAAUCCGCUUUGUAAAUGGGUUUUAAACAAGUACUCAUAAUGAUGAAACAAUAUAGAGGAACAAAUUGCGGUAAGAAAAGCAUGCUGUUGAUGUCAAAAGAAGCCAGCCCGUUACCGUAAUUCCAGCAACACAUUGACUGUGGUCCUGGCCACAGGCAAAUUUCUGAUACCUGCUUUUUAAAUUAUCACCCAGGGUGGCUUGGAGAAAUGUGGUAACUUUGGGUAUGUUAACACUUCCAUAAAUUAAUUCAGUUAGAAGAAGAUACACUUAGAAAUGUAGAAUAUAAGCCUGAUGUGUUGACAUGUAUUGAAAAGGAACAAAAAAGACAAUAGUUAUUUAUUUUAAUAGCAAGUUGUGAUACCAAACAACAUUCUUCCUUUUACCUCAUUGUCUUCCAUGGCCUAGGCCUUCCUUUAUUUUUAGUUAAUUCCUACAUGGGUGCUUUUUAAUUCAAAAUAAAUACUAUAUCAUUCUGACAGGUUUGCUCAGAAAAACACUGUAUGUUCUUUUUAAGAUUGGAGACAUAAUUGACUCUUCUCAUUAUUUAAGUGGCAUUUAUUGAACACUUAAUUUUCCUCAGCACUGUAUUAGACAACUACUAUGAACAAUGGCAAAUGAUACACAUUAUGCUCUUGAUAAAUUAAUACCAUAUUUGAAAGAGAAGAUUAUAUGUGUAUUGGAAUAAAAAUAUCCACAUAAUUAUUGUAAGUCGAGCGAAUAGUAUAGGUAGCAAUGUUGGAGAAAUUCAAAUGGAGAGGACUGAGCAGACACCCCAGGCUGAGGAUUUCUGUUGAGAGGUCAGAUGGUGAUGAUACUCAGGAGAGAUGAAUUUCAGGCCAGACACGCCUGAGCUCAAAAUCCAAUUUUGCUCCUUACUUAACAUCUAUGUGUGUGUGUGUGUGUGUGUGUGUGUGUGCGUGUGUGUGUGUGUUUGUGUUUCAUCUGUGAAACAAAAACAGUAACAAUUCCUAACUUUGUAAUUGCUGAAAGGACUAAGUGGAUUAAUGUUGAAUGCUGACUCAUAGUAAAUAUUUAAAAGAUGUUUUAAUAAAGGAAUAGUAGAGGAUAAGGUUUAAAAGGAAGUAUGGGCGGGGCGUGGUGGCCCAAGCCAGCAAUCUC
rnacentral:lncRNA from 10 species